rnacentral:sRNA from 1 species
UUGUAAGAUAUGUACCGCCUGGUACUCCUAUAUAUGUUAACUAGAUUUUAACCCGCGGUAUACCGCGGUAUGAUUUAUUUUUUU